ACUCGACGGCUGCGCGAGCCGUGGAAAGCCGGCUAAAAGGUCGACGGACUGCAUACGAAAGCAGAUUGGCGUUCCGCAUAAGCCGAAUCCCCGGCUUUGAAUCCAUUCGGUUCGUGGUAGGGAGUUGUGCAGCGUUCUGUGAUGAUACGCACCUCCUCGAUCAACAAGUGCUUCAAACGAUUGGCGGCUGAAAAGGCUUGACAGCAGAAAAUACAGGGUUCUCCGCUUUUCCAUCGCAGACCGAUAUCUUCGGAUUCUGUCAGAAAUGAAGGAUCGAGCUGGGGGCGAGGCCCAUAGAUCCAAGAUACGAGCGAUUCCCUUCCCCCCAGGAGUGGGAGAGAAAAGCCGAGCGACCCAACACAGGACUGUCGGUCCCGACCGAACAGCCGAACCCGAAGCAAGGAUCGAACAGUAGCUCGCCGUCCACGACUCCGGUCGAACCCACAAGAUCUCAGCUCUGGUAGACCACGGCCACGAUGGUCUGCCCCCAGGCUCAACCUAGGAUGAAUCAUAUCCAUUGUAUAUUUCUACUAAAAUUCAAUACAGCCCCUCUAUUU
rnacentral:misc_RNA from 1 species